rnacentral:rRNA from 1 species
GCUUGUCUCAAAGAUUAAGCCAUGCAUGUCUAAGUAUAAGCCUUUAUAUGGUGAGACUGCGAAUGGCUCAUUAAAUCAGAAACUGUUUAUUUGAUAGUGCCUACUACAUGGAUACCUGUAGUAAUUCUAGAGCUAAUACAUGCAAAAAGCCUGGACUUCUGGAACAGGCGUAUUUAUUAGAUAUACAAACCAACCGCUUCGGCGACCCUUGGUGACUCAUAAUAACUGUGCGGAUCGCGUUUUACGCGAUAAAUCGAUUGAGUUUCUGCCCUAUCAGCUUUGGAUGGUAGGAUAUGGGCCUACCAUGGCAUUAACGGGUAACGGGGAAUUAGGGUUUGAUUCCGGAGAGGGAGCCUUAGAAACGGCUACCACAUCCAAGGAAGGCAGCAGG